rnacentral:sRNA from 1 species
UCAAGUAUGGAAACAGCCUUAUGUAAAGU